rnacentral:rRNA from 1 species
UACGGAGGGUGCGAGCGUUGUCCGGAAUCACUGGGCGUAAAGGGCGCGUAGGCGGCCUGAUAAGUAGGGGGUGAAAUCCUGCGGCUUAACCGCAGGGCUGCCUUCUAAACUGUCGGGCUCGAGCACAGUAGAGGCAGGUGGAAUUCCCGGUGUAGCGGUGAAAUGCGCAGAUAUCGGGAGGAACACCAAUGGCGAAGGCAGCUCGCUGGGACGUUACUGACGCUGAGACGCGAAAGCGUGGGGAGCAAACAGG